rnacentral:lncRNA from 1 species
CAAAGGUUGAGUCCAUGAAACAACCUGCAGCCCCGGAAUCUAUCAACGCGCGUGUCCAGAAGCCUGGCCCAAUCUCCAGGAUGUGACUAUGGGCAUAGUUAAUUGAGUGAUGAGGCGCUGAGACCCACUGACCUUUGGUUCCUGGUGGGACUCCAUCGGUGGCGGAGGGCGAACCGGGCAAGAGGCGCGGAGGUGUCUAGGAUCUCCACAGUACAGGCACAAUCUGUCUCUGAAUCAGUGUUGUCUCUCGGCAGACGACAUCCACCCUUGUCUGAGCUGCAUGGGCUCCGGUGUCUCGGGAAGAGAUCUGAACAUUGCUGGAGCCACCUAGGGCUGCGGAGCCCUUUCCCGGCCAGGUUGUCGAUGGCCACGGACCGGUCGAAGGUCUGGUCUUCUCCUCGCAACUCGUAGGUGGUGGGAGAGCGCUUGCUACAGACUGCCAUAGCCCAUUUCAACACCGGACCCGUCAGCAAUGAGUUCAGGUAGGUGAUCUUGCUGUCAUCUGUUUGAUAAACAUGCGGCAGAUUGGCAAAAACUAACUCACACUGGAGCAGGAAGCCUUGGCAGACGUCAGGAGUCCCGUCGUACCUUUCAGGCGUGGCCAGGAGAGGGUCCGUGGCAGAGACGGGCAGAGCCGGGGCUGACGGUAUUAGCCAACACAGACGAGGGCGGCUCGGAAGCGGCAUCCGCGUCAGCUGCCUCCAAAAUGCCCCUUGCCUGGAACGGUAGGAUAAGUCCCUGCAGGGUCUCCAUGAGCUGUUUCAGAGUCUGAUCAUGUGAGCCCAGCAUGGCAUCUUGUGCAGAGACCGCGGUUUGGAGAAUCUUCAGAACCGUUGGGUCUAUUUAUGAGGCGGAACCUUCUGUCAUGCCAAGGCGUUGACUCUGUGUUAUACGAUGAGCUGCACUGUUUCCGCCGCUUUGCUCCCCACUGUUCUGGACUUGCCCCGCAGCGCCGAAGGAAGAGGAGCAGACGCCCCCCCCCCCGUUGCCUCAACACCGGCCCUCUGCCGCUCGUCUUCUUGCCCUUAAUUCUCAGUCAGAUGAAGUCACUUCCUUGGUGUUUGUUCCUCCUCAAGGCCACCAUUGUGCUCCUCCUGCUUGUUGAUGCUGCGCUCCUGGAGACACAUCGACACGUGGUCUUGUGCAGAAUACACGGGUCACACCCACACGCUGACAUAAACAGUCAGUGGAUUUAA